rnacentral:rRNA from 1 species
GACAGAGGGUGCAAACGUUGCUCGGAAUUACUGGGCGUAAAGCGCGUGUAGGCGGUUCCGCAAGUCAGGUGUGAAAGCCCAGGGCUCAACCCUGGAAGUGCACUUGAUACUACGGAGCUUGAGUACUGAAGAGGAGAGCGGAAUUCCCGGUGUAGAGGUGAAAUUCGUAGAUAUCGGGAAGAACACCCGUGGCUAAGGCGGCUCUCUAGUACGGUACUGACGCUGAGACGCGAAAGCGUGGGGAGCGAACAGG